UACGUAGGGACCGAGCGUUGUCCGGAUUCAUUGGGCGUAAAGGGCUCGUAGGCGGCUGCUCAAGUCGAAUGUGAAAACUCGAGGCUCAACCUCGAGCCUGCAUUCGAUACUGGGCGGCUAGAGUCUGGUAGGGGGAUCUGGAAUUCCUGGUGUAGCGGUGGAAUGUGCAGAUAUCAGGAGGAACACCGGUGGCGAAGGCGGGAUCCUGGGCCAGUACUGACGCUGAGACACGAAAGCGUGGGUAGCAAACAGG
rnacentral:rRNA from 1 species